rnacentral:rRNA from 1 species
CAAUAGCGUAUGUUAAAGUUGUUGCAGUUAAAAAGCUCGUAGUUGGAUUUGUGGCGUACGGUGUGUUCCGGGCACUUGUUGUCUGAGUAACCUGCUGUUGCCAUCCUUGGGUGGAUCCUGUGUGGCAUUAGGUUGUCGUGCAGGGGAUGCCCAUCAUUUACUGUGAAAAAAUUAGAGUGUUCAAAGCAGGCUUAUGCCGUUGAAUAUAUUAGCAUGGAAUAAUGAGAUAGGACUUUUUUGCUAUUUUGUUGGUUUGCGCAAAGAGGUAAUGAUUAAUAGGGACAGUUGGGGGUAUUCGUAUUCCAUUGUCAGAGGUGAAAUUCUUGGAUUUUUGGAAGACGAACUACUGCGAAAGCAUUUACCAAGGAUGUUUUCAUUAA